CCUACGGGAGGCAGCAGUGGGGAAUAUUGGGCAAUGGGCGAAAGCCGGACCCAGCAACGCCGCGGGAAGGAAGAAGGCUUUCGGGUUGUAAACUUCUUUUAAGAGGGAAGAGCAGAAGACGGUACCCCUUGAAUAAGCAACGGCUAACUACGUGCCAGCAGCGGCGGUAAUAGGUAGGUGGCAAGCGUUGUCCGGAUUUACUGGGUGUAAAGGGCGUGCAGCCGGGAAGACAAGUCAGAUGUGAAAUCCCGCGGCUCAACCGCGGAACUGCAUUUGAAACUGUUUUUCUUGAGUACCGGAGAGGUCAUCGGAAUUCCUUGUGUAGCGGUGAAAUGCGUAGAUAUAAGGAAGAACACCAGUGGCGAAGGCGGAUGACUGGACGGCAACUGACGGUGAGGCGCGAAAGCGUGGGGAGCAAACAGGAUUAGAUACCCUUGUAGUC
rnacentral:rRNA from 1 species